rnacentral:rRNA from 1 species
UACAGAGGGGGCAAGCGUUAUUCGGAAUUAUUGGGCGUAAAGGGCGCAUAGGCGGCGAUUCAAGUGACGGGUGAAAUCCCCCGGCUUAACCUGGGAACUGCGUCUGAUACUGGACGGCUUGAGUAUGGGAGAGGGAUGUAGAAUUCCAGGUGUAGCGGUGAAAUGCGUAGAUAUCUGGAGGAAUACCGGUGGCGAAGGCGGCAUCCUGGACCAUUACUGACGCUGAGGCGCGAAAGCUAGGGGAGCAAACGGG